UACGUAGGGUGCAAGCGUUAAUCGGAAUUACUGGGCGUAAAGCGUGCGCAGGCGGUUGUGCAAGACCGAUGUGAAAAUCCCCGGGCUUAACCUGGGAAUGGCAUUGGUGACUGCACGGCUAGAGUGUGUCAGAGGGGGGGUAGAAUUCCACGUGUAGCAGUGAAAUGCGUAGAGAUGUGGAGGAAUACCGAUGGCGAAGGCAGCCCCCUGGGAUAACACUGACGCUCA
rnacentral:rRNA from 1 species